CAGCAGCCGCGGUAACACAGAGGGUGCGAGCGUUAAUCGGAUUUACUGGGCGUAAAGCGUGCGUAGGCGGCUUCUUAAGUCGGAUGUGAAAUCCCUGAGCUUAACUUAGGAAUUGCAUUCGAUACUGGGAAGCUAGAGUAUGGGAGAGGAUGGUAGAAUUCCAGGUGUAGCGGUGAAAUGCGUAGAGAUCUGGAGGAAUACCGAUGGCGAAGGCAGCCAUCUGGCCUAAUACUGACGCUGAGGUACGAAAGCAUGGGGAGCAAACAGGAUUAGAUACCCCAGUAGUCCCUGUCUCUUAUAA
rnacentral:rRNA from 1 species